UGUCAGGAGUUAUGAAAUGCCGGUGGGGGAAAUCCUGUCGGUUUGACAAAGGCCUAGGAGGAAGCCACGGCUAACUUCGUGCCAGCAGCCGCGGUAAUACGAAGGUGGCAAGCGUUGUUCGGAAUCACUGGGCAUAAAGGGCGUGUAGGCGGUCUGGUAAGUCGGUAGUGAAAGCCCCCGGCUCAACCGGGGAAGUGCUACCGAUACUGUCAGACUCGAGUGCAGGAGGGGAGAGUGGAACUUCUGGUA
rnacentral:rRNA from 1 species